rnacentral:rRNA from 1 species
AUGCCGGAUUUUUGGGUUUGGUUUCUGGACAAGAAGGGCAGGUUUACUGUUUCCUCGGUGUACAAGUUUCUGCUUGCAACAAAACUGCAGCGGGAAGAGUGGCUGGAAGGACAUGGAGGGACGUCCAGUGCUCAGAGAGACCAAAAUUCAUGGAGUUCGUUGUGGAAACUUAAGGUUCCCCCCAAGAUGAGAAUUUUUCUAUGGCGGCUCGCCCACCACUCUCUCCCUACGACUGAUGUUCUUAGCAAGGGUCGCAUGUCCUCUCAAGACACUUGUCCGCUCUGUGGAUCUCCGGAUUCAUGGCGGCAUGCUCUUAUUUCAGGCACCAUGUCCAAGUGCAUUUGGGCAUUGUCAGAUGAUGGUCUUGUCCCCCGUAUGGAGAGAACGAGGAGACUAAUGUGA